rnacentral:hammerhead_ribozyme from 1 species
ACCCAGCUGACGAGUUCCAAAUAGGACGAAACGCGCAUCCUGGAU